rnacentral:rRNA from 1 species
GAUGAACGCUGGCGGCGUGCCUAAUACAUGCAAGUCGAGCGAACGGACGAGAAGCUUGCUUCUCUGAUGUUAGCGGCGGACGGGUGAGUAACACGUGGAUAUCCUACCUAUAAGACUGGGAUAACUUCGGGAAACCGGAGCUAAUACCGGAUGAUAUUUUGAACCGCAUGGUUCAAAAGUGAAAGACGGUCUUGCUGUCACUUAUAGAUGGAUCCGCGCUGCAUUAGCUAGUUGGUAAGGUAACGGCUUACCAAGGCAACGAUGCAUAGCCGACCUGAGAGGGUGAUCGGCCACACCGGAACUGAGACACGGUCCAGACUCCUACGGGAGGCAGCAGUAGGGAAUCUUCCGCAAUGGGCGAAAGCCUGACGGAGCAACGCCGCGUGAGUGAUGAAGGUCUUCGGAUCGUAAAACUCUGUUAUUAGGGAAGAACAUAUGUGUAAGUAACUGUGCACAUCUUGACGGUACCUAAUCAGAAAGCCACGGCUAACUACGUG